UUCGUGCGGAAUAGUUUAUUCUGAUACAAUUUGUGUGCCAGUUUUGCGUUGCAAUCAAUAAAUUAUUGCAUUGAAUUUUGUUUUAAUUGCGAAAAUUGCUGUACCAAGAAUUGGAACUGCGCGCAUACACAAAUUGUUAUCGCAGCUGGUGGUUCAUGUUCCAAAUAGCAAAUUAGUGUGUUCUAUUGAGCGUAAACACAACGGAGCAACAUCGCAAUCGUUGUGUGUUGGUGUUGGUGUUGAACUGGAUUCAACGGAACUAAUUUUGAUCGAUUCGUGUUUGUUAUUCGCGCAUUCAUAAUCACACUUGGAAGAAAAUUGAUAGCUGUUUCAACUGUGUCAGUGAUUUGAAUCGAGACCGGCUGCAUACAUAACCUCACAACUGAGCUGGUGGUACGUGUUGCAAAUUGCAAAUCAGUGUCUUUUAUUGAGCGCAAACACACGGAAUAGCAUCGCAUUUGUUGUGCAAAUCACAAUCAGAAAUUAUCGCAGCCGUUUUACUGCCAGUGACUCGCACCAAAACCGCAUACAUACACAACCUCACAACUGAGUUGGUGGUACGUGUUGCAAAUAGCAAAUCAGUGGCUUUUAUUGAGCGCAAAAACACGGAGUAGCAUCGCAUUUGCUGUGUAAAUCACAAUCAGAAAUUAUUGUCAGCCGUUUUAUUGCCAGUGACUCGCAUCAAAACCGUGCACAUACUCAAUUUCACAUCUGAGGUGGCGAUUCGUGACAUACAGACAGCAAAUCAUGAUUUCUAUUAUCGCCGAGCGAUGUGGAGUUUCUGAGCGGUUCGUUCGGUAUUUCUUAUCGCUAUAUGAAGUGGCACAUGAUCAAUUCCAUGAAAUCGAGCUGGUGUCAGAGUGCAUUCUCUUCUUAAAGUAUGCAAUCCAAAAUCGGAAUAAUCAAUCUGGAAUCA